GACGAACGCUGGCGGUGUGCUUCACACAUGCAAGUCGAACGAGGUAGCAAUACCUAGUGGCGGACGGGUGAGUAACGCGUGGGAAUCUGCCUUUAGAUGGGGGAUAACGGUCGAAGACUCGCUAAUACCGCAUAUGACGAAAGUUGAAGGAGUAAUCCGUCUAAAGAUGAGCCCGCGUCCGAUUAGCUAGUUGGUAGGGUAACGGCCUACCAAGGGUACGAUGGGUAGGCUGGUCUGAGAGGAUGAUCAGCCACACUGGGACUGAGACACGGCCCAGACUCCUACGGGAGGCAGCAGUGGGGAAUAUUGGACAAUGGGCGAAAGCCUGAUCCAGCCACGCCGCGUGAGUGAUGAAGGCCUUGGUUGUAAAGCUCUGUCGGGA
rnacentral:rRNA from 1 species